rnacentral:rRNA from 1 species
AAGCAUACCCACUGAACCUGCGGAAGGAUCAUU